rnacentral:rRNA from 1 species
AUGCCUCCUCAAAGGGCGAGGAGGGGUCGCAGGCAUGGGGGUAAUCCCAGGACUCAGGAAGAUGAGGAUCAGCUUAGGGUCCAACAAUUCAUAACCGCUACACUCUAUGCCACUACUAGGAAGGAUAAAAAGAGUAUUAAAGACGAGGCCAAGACUAUGGGAGAGAGUGAGAAAUACGUAAACCUUUUUGCAAACAAUACGCUUCAAGGUGUGGGUGUGCUCAGCUUUGCUUUAAUGGAGAAAAACAACUUGCUUGCCACUUGUUUACUGGAAUAUGUUCAUUCCGACCCAAGCUCUAGGCUUCAUGACAAGGCUGGACGAACUCCCCUGCAUUUUGCUGCCCGAGGUGGAAACAUUGUCUUGAUGGACACUCUGGUGAACACUCAUCACGUUGAUGUGAAUGCAACUGAUAAUUCAGGGUUAAUUCCAUUGCAUUUGGCAGUUUUCUAUGAUAAUACUGAUGCUCUCCUUGAACAGAUGAGGCUGGGAGCAACCAUUGAGGGGAAUACUUGUUUUGGGAAGGCUAUCCACGCCGCUGCCUUUUUAGGAAGUCUUGGGGCUAUUAAAGCUAUUCACCAGGAUUUCCCCAAUGAGGUAAACAUUGCUAGUGCUGGAAAUUUCACGCCACUUAUUUGUUCCCUGUUCGGCACUUCAGUUGACUGUCAGAACUUUCUUGCAGGGGUAUCUGAUGUGGGUACUCUUCCCUUAUUCACUAAAGUGGCAUUGGUUAAAACCAAUGAGGCUGAAGCUCAUGCUCUUAUGAAAAUGCUUUUAAACCAUGGAGCAGAUGUGAACAUAUUGGACCAGGGUUUUCUUGAAGAACCAGCAUUGAUCAUCGCCGCCAAAAACGAAUGGAAUCUGGUCAUCGACCUUUUAUUUCAUAGAACAAAACAGAUAGCUGGCAUAGAGGACUGGACCAUUGCAAAUUUACUCAUCCAUGUCCAGACAGAAGAGUUUUUGCAUCAGGACCGUUUGAGGAAAGCAAAUAAAAUCCAGCAGCUGCGCCCCAGAAUAAUUGUUGAACUGGAAGCUAGAAAUGUUGUUGUCGCGAUCUAUCUUUGCAAGGCUUUAAAAUCUGAUAUGGAUGAAUGGGACUGGAGCAACAUCAGCAGUCUAUGCGACCUCUGUGUACAUUUUGGAAUGACGUCAUCUGAAUAUGAAGUAACAGUGGAAUCUAUUUCUACGUACACAAGUGCUUAUUUCUUAUAUAAGCAAUAUGAUAAGGCUCUUUUAGCUGUAAAGGCUUGUCUUGCCCUUUAA